UUACGGCUGUAAGACCGUAUGAGGACUGUCCGGGCUACGAGGCGGGAAUAAGACCGGGUGACCUCAUUCUUGCGGUUGACGGAACAGAGAUAACAGGCAUGGAUUUGAAUACGGCGGUUGCCCUUAUCAAGGGAGAAGAGGGAACGAGCGUUACCAUAACCUUACAGCGCGAUGAGGAGGUGUUCGAUGUCGAGGUGACACGCCGCCAGAUUGAUGUCAAGACCGUCAAUUACAGAAUGAUGGAUGACAACAUAGGUUAUAUUCAGAUUGAGGAAUUUGAUGAGGUGACCUCAGAUCAGUUUUCGCAGGCACUGGAUUCGCUGAUAGAGCAGGGCAUGGAGGCUCUUGUCAUUGAUAUCCGCAACAAUCCGGGUGGUAUUCUUGAUACGGUUGUUGCCAUGCUUGACGAGCUUCUUCCGGAGGGAACUAUUGUUUCGGUCAAGGAUAGGAACGGAACGGCACAGGAGUACACAUCCGAUGCCGAUACCAAGCUCACGGUUCCGCUUACAGUUCUCAUUAAUGGUAACAGUGCGAGCGCCUCAGAGAUAUUUGCGGGAGCCAUAAAGGACUAUGGGGUAGGAACACUUGUCGGAACUACAACUUAUGGAAAGGGAAUUGUACAGACGGCAUUCUCCUUGAGUGAUGGCACGGGUGUGAAGAUUACAAUCGAACCCGGAGAUAGCUGGUUCUCCUCGAAAUAGCUUUAGGGCUAGCCUCUGGUUAGUCUGCCGCAGGUAGAGCACUGAAUUUCCUAGGGGGCGUCAAAGCCUACCGAAGAAUAUCAAACUGCGAAUGGCGGACAGAUGAUGCCAGGGAGUCAGACUGCACGAGAUAAGUUGGGUGGUCAAAAGGGAAAGAGCCCAGACCUACAGCUAAGGUCCCAAAGUGCGUGUUAAGUGGAAAAGGAUGUGGGAUUUCGAAGACAACUAGGAUGUUGGCUCAGAAGCAGCCAUACAUUCAAAGAGUGCGUAAUAGCUCACUAGUCGAGAGGUCCUGCGCCGAAAAUGUCCGGGGCUAAAACACAACACCGAAGCUUAGGAAUUCUAAUGAAUUGGUAGAGGAGCAUUGAAGACGGAACGAAGCCAUACCGAAAGGAAUGGUGGACUGUCUUGAAGAGAGAAUGCCGGAAUGAGUAGCGAGAUUGAAGUGAGAAUCUUCAAGGCCGAAUAUCUAAGGUUUCCAGGGUAAAGCUGAUCUGCCCUGGGUAAGUCGGGGCCUAAGGCAAGGUCGAAAGACGUAGUCGAUGGAUAACAGGUUGAAAUUCCUGUACUGCAUCAAAUCAGAAAUGUGGGGACACAUGAGGGAAGCAUGAGCCGGAAAAGGAAAGUCCGGUACAAGCGCAGCAGAGGACAGAUAGGAAAAACCGUCUGUCAACUCGAGGGCGUGAUGUGGAGCGAACCAAAGUAGCGAAGCAUGUGGAGCUUGUGUCGAGAAAAGCCGCUAUAGUGUUUGAUGUACCCGUACCGUAAACCGACACAGGUGGAUGAGGAGAGAAUCCUAAGGCCGGCGGAAGAAGCAUUGUUAAGGAAUUCGGCAAAAUGACCCCGUAACUUCGGGAGAAGGGGUGCCUGCGAGAGCAGGCCGCAGAGAAUAGGCUCAAGCAACUGUUUAGCAAAAACACAGGUCUAUGCGAAACCGAAAGGUGAGGUAUAUGGGCUGACGCCUGCCCGGUGCUGGAAGGUUAAGAGGAGAGGUUAGCGCAAGCGAAGCUUUGAAUUUAAGCCCCAGUAAACGGCGGCCGUAACUAUAACGGUCCUAAGGUAGCGAAAUUCCUUGUCGGGUAAGUUCCGACCCGCACGAAAGGCGUAAUGAUUUGAGCGCUGUCUCGACAAUGCAUCCGGUGAAAUUGAAGUACCAGUGAAGAUGCUGGUUACCUGCGCCAGGACGGAAAGACCCCAUGGAGCUUUACUCCAGUCUGGUACUGGGACUCGGUAUUGCAUGUACAGGAUAGGUGGGAGGCUAGGAGAUGGUAACGCCAGUUGCCAUGGAGCCGCUGUUGGGAUACCACCCUUGCAGUAUUGGGUUUCUAACCAGCCGCCGUGACCCGGCGGUGGGACAAUGCCAGACGGGGAGUUUGACUGGGGCGGUCGCCUCCGAAAGGGUAUCGGAGGCGCCCAAAGGUUCCCUCAGAAUGGACGGAAACCAUUCGAAGAGUGCAAAGGCAGAAGGGAGCUUGACUGCGACACCGACGGGUGGAGCA
rnacentral:rRNA from 1 species